rnacentral:rRNA from 1 species
CACGAAUUCGUGUGAGCUAACUCAUCUAAAUAUCUAUGUAGCAUAAUAUCAACUUAAUUUGAGUUAGGGGUGAUAGGCCUUUCAAAAACGAGGAUAUCUUGAAGUAAGCGAAAAAGAUUUAGUUUUGAGGUGGUUGUAAAGUUACAAGAUUUUGCAAGGGGUUAAAUAUUUAUAACUGUAAGAUGUAGGUGUAAAAUCCCGCAUAGCGUCAUUUUAACAUUAAGUAAAUAAGGUUUAUUAUAUUAGUUUACGGUACCAUAACCUAGGGGUAAUCAUUAUGUUAAUAUAAGUACUAAGGAGGUAUUAAUAGUGAACUCGGCAAUAAAGCUUUCAACUGUUUACCAAAAACAUAGCCACAUGUCUCACAUGUGGUGUGUUCUGCUCAAUGAUAAUUAAAUAGCCGCAGUACCCUGACUGUGCAAAGGUAGCAAAAUCAUUUGUCUUUUAAUUGGAGUCGUGUAUGAAGGAAUGCAUGGGGGCUUGCUUUACCAUUAAUAUAACAUGAAAUUGCUUAAGAGGUGAAAAAACCUCUAGUUAUAAAAUAGACGAGAAGACCCUUGAAAUUUAUAAAGAGAUUUUGUUGGGGCAACAUAAUAGAUAAACCUAUUAAAUGUACAUGAAAUUUGUUUGUAUGACUAAAUUACUCUAGGGAUAACAGCAUAAUUAUUUAUUAGUUUGUGACCUCGAUGUUGGAUUAGGGAACUAUAACUUAAAA